GGAUGUGAGGGCAUCUGGUUGCAACAUGUCACCCCAUAGAUUGCAAGGGUUGAUUCAGCUGGCUAGGUGGGUGUCCCCUUCCUCCCUCACUGUUUCAUGUGCGUCCCUCCUGAAGCUUCAUGCUCAGAUAAAGAGGACAAGGAUGGCCUUCCCCAAAUAGAGAUGACCCAGUAUAGAAUAGCUGUGCUCCCCUGUGAGAGAUGUCUGACUGCACUGACAUCUAUAAGAUAAAACUUUCAAAUAACCUGGGUCUCUGACAUAGCUCACUUGAAAAGUGUGUUCUGU
rnacentral:snRNA from 1 species